rnacentral:rRNA from 1 species
AUUAAACGCUGGCGGCAUGCCUUACACAUGCAAGUCGAACGGCAGCACGGGGCAACCUGGUGGCGAGUGGCGAACGGGUGAGUAAAGCAUCGGAACGUGCCCUGGAGUGGGGGAUAACGUAGCGAAAGUUACGCUAAUACCGCAUAUUCUGUGAGCAGGAAAGCAGGGGAUCGCAAGACCUUGCGCUCUGGGAGCGGCCGAUGUCGGAUUAGCUAGUUGGUGGGGUAAAGGCCUACCAAGGCGACGAUCCGUAGCGGGUCGUGAGAGGAUGAUCCGCCACACUGGGACUGAGACACGGCCCAGACUCCUAC